UACAGAGGUCUCAAGCGUUGUUCGGAUUCAUUGGGCGUAAAGGGUGCGUAGGUGGCGCCGUAAGUCGGGUGUGAAAUUUCGGAGCUUAACUCCGAAACUGCAUUCGAUACUGCGGUGCUUGAGGACUGGAGAGGAGACUGGAAUUCAUGGUGUAGCAGUGAAAUGCGUAGAGAUCAUGAAGAAGACCAGUGGCGAAGGCGGGUCUCUGGACAGUUCCUGACACUGAGGCACGAAGGCCAGGGGAGCAAAACGGGG
rnacentral:rRNA from 1 species